AUCCCUAGUACGGCGAGUGAGCGGGAGAGCUCAAAUUUGAAAUCUGGCAGUCUUCGAUUGUCCGAGUUGUAAUCUAUAGAGGCGUUUUCCGUGCCGGACCGUGUCCAAGUCUCCUGGAAAGGAGUAUCAAAGAGGGUGAUAAUCCCGUACUUAACACGACCACCGGUGCUCUGUGAUACGUCUUCUACGAGUCGAGUUGUUUGGGAAUGCAGCUCAAAAUGGGUGGUGAAUUCCAUCUAAAGCUAAAUAUUGGCGAGAGACCGAUAGCGAACAAGUACCGUGAGGGAAAGAUGAAAAGCACUUUGGAAAGAGAGUUAAACAGUACGUGAAAUUGUUGAAAGGGAAACGAUUGAAGUCAGUCGUGUUCUUUGGAUUCAGCCAGUUCUGCUGGUCUACUUCCUUGGAACGGGUCAACAUCAGUUUUGUCCGGUGGAUAAAGGUAGUAGGAAUGUGACUUCUCCGGAAGUGUUAUAGCCUAUUAUCACAUACACUGGGUGAGACUGAGGACUGCAGCUCGCCUUUAUGGCCGGCCUUCGGGCACGUUCGAGCUUAGGAUGUUGACAUAAUGGCUUUAAACGACCCGUCUUGAAA
rnacentral:rRNA from 1 species